rnacentral:lncRNA from 1 species
UAAAAAUAAAACAUGGGAUACUUAAAGGGUUUGAGAAGCCCGCAAAAACAAAAAUAGAAAAUGAAGCCUAAAUGAAUGCAGAAAUAGAAUCGUCAUUUCCCAGUCAAAUCAAACAGUCUGGCCUCCAUUAUUUUCCAACUUUUCAUUUCAUAAACGCUAGGCUUUUCAGAUGAUAGCAAUUUCAAAGAAAUCUUAUGCUUUAGCUAUCUUUUUCCGUUUCAUUUCCUCUUCAUCAACUUCCUUCAAUCAGAAUUUUGUGGCCAUCUCCCUCUUAGAUCCGGUGUUCUUCUCUCGUCUCUCCCACCAGGUAUCUUUCUUCCCCUUUUCUUAAUGCCUCUUUCGUUAGGUAUGUGCUUCAACGUUCUCUGUUCUUUGGAUGAAUCGAAAAACAUUUUUUUUGGAAUCGGGUUUUGUUGCUCUGAAUAUCAUCAAUAAUUGCUCCUAGAAUCGAUUUAUCUCUAGCUUUUGUUUUGCAUUUGUUGAUUAUUGUUUUCGAAUCCCCCAUCAUCGUGACUGAGUUUAAGCCCAUGCUUAUGCCUAAUUUGGUUGCCUCUAAACAUGCUAAUGCUUCUGCUACAAAUGGAGAGGAAACGUUGGAGUGAAGAGUAGACUUUGAGACUGUGAUUUCCCCAUUCUGACCUCGGGCUACCAUUCCUGACGCUGAUCUAGAGUUGUUGAUAUCAAAAGCUGCAUCAAACUGUAUAGACUCCCGUAGCUCCACCUCUCUUUGUUCGGAUCUAACGGCCGUAGAGGUAAGUUUUCUUUCUCGCACUCCUUCAAGCUCUAUUAGAUAACUCUGUAUUUUAAAAGCUAGAUCCCUUCCUGAUGUAUACUUCCUCUUGUGGAUCAUUUGAUUUCUCGAGCUCCAGAUAACCCAUAAGGCACAAAAAAAUACUCAGAUCUACUCCUUUGUACCUCUGCUGAAUACCCAGGUGAGCCAUGCCCAUACACUCUGAUCUGCAUGUUCUGUUACCCAUGACAUAUUGAGACUGAUCUAUGCAUCCGUGCUUAUAGGACAUUGCCUAAACACAUGGAAGCUAUCUUCUUCUGCAGAACAGUAUCGUGGACACCUUACAUUAGUGGUCACUCUCUUAUAUCUGAUAUUAACUAGUGAAGGGAUGUAGUUCCAGGAAAUUCGCCAUAUGAGAAUUAGGAUUUUUGUUAGUAAUUGUAAAUUCCAUAAUUUUCUGUAGAAAUCUUUAGUUUCGACCUGUAUUAAAUAGUUAUAAUGAUCCAAGCUAGCUUCUUAUAAUAGUUUGUAGGCACUUCUAACUGUAAAUUCUCCGGAGAGUUCCCCUUUCCACACUUUCAUGUCUUCACAAUCCGUUUUCGCAAGAGGAAUUUGCAGUAUUUUUUGAGAAAUUUCCUUUUGAAAGGUAGUCGAAAUUAACUUUCUUCCACUUCUUGUUUAUGUUAUCAAUAAGAUCAGAAACCACAGCUAACUAACCAUUGUCUCUUUUAUUUUGCCACAUCUCAAGUUCCAUCCCUAGUAUCCAACGAUCAUCCCAUAUAGAUAUUGCGUCUCCUCUCUCGACUCUCCAGAUGAGACCAUCAAGAAGGAGUCCUUUCACUGCCCAAAUACUUCUCUAGGUAAGAGAUGGUAAGUUUCCCAACUGUGAAUUUAGGAAACUGGAUCUUGGGUAAUAUUUAGCUUUAAGUACUCUGGCUAAAAGUGAAUUUGGGUUAUUAAACAAUCGCCAACCCUGCUUGGCUAACAAUGCGAUAUUAAACUUAUUAAAAUUACGAAAACCCAACCCGUCGUUUUCCUUUAAAUAGCAAAGGUUUUUCCAAGAGCACCAAUAGAUUCCCUUUUUUCCUUGAUUCUUUUGCCACCAAUAUCUCGCAACAAUACUCUCCAUUUCUUCACAUAGUGACUUCGGAAGUAGAAAACAAACCAUUGAGUAUGUCGGUAUGGCUUGUAGCACUGCCUUUAUGAAUAUCUCUUUUCCACCUUGCGAUAAAAAACGAGUACUCCAAUUUUCUAUCUGUUGUUCCAAUCUGUCUUUUAAGGCUUGAAAAGAUUGCUUCUUUUUUCGACCUACCAUGUUUGGCAAGCCCAAGUAUCUUUCUGGCUCAUUUGAACUUCGAACUCCCAAUAAAUUGACGAUUAGAUGUCUUUCCUCUUCAAUUAUAUUUUUGCUAAAGAAGACGGUCGAUUUGGAAAAAUUCACACAUUGACCCGAACAUCUUUUAUACCCGCUAAGAAUUUCCUUGAGUACAAAGGCUCCUUUCCUCGAUGCUUCUCCAAAUAAAAUGCAAUCAUCCGUAAAUAGUAAAUGUGUUACCUGUGGACCACUUCUGGUUGCCUUGACUCCCUUUAGAAGACCUUCUCUAGCGUUUAUUCUCAUUAGACUAGAUAGUCCUUCUCCACAUAUUAAGAAGAGAAACGGGCUCAAAGGAUCGCCUUGUCGAAGCCCUCUUGUUGGACGGAAAGUUCUUCCAACACUUACAUUGAGCACUACUUGAUAAGAAACUGUAGACAUGAAAUUCAUGAUAGAGGUGACCCAUUUUUGAUCAAAUCCCAUCCGCAGCAUUGUUUCCUUAAUAAAUCUCCAUUCAACUCUGUCAUAAGCUUUGCUUAUGUCAAGCUUAACCGCCAUGUAUCCCUUUUUCCCCAUUCUUUUUUGUUUAAGUGUGUGCAAUAACUCAUAAGCGAGCAAAAUAUUAUCUGAGAUUAAUUUACCUGGUACGAAGGCACUUUGCGCACUGUCAAUGCAUUUGUCUAUGACACCUCUAAAUCUGUUUGCUAUUGCUUUAGUCAUGAUUUUAUAAAUAACAUUGCAUAAGCUAAUAGGCCUAAAAUGGGUCAUAUUAGAGGGGUUUUUGAUUUUUGGGAUAAGAACAAUAUAAGUUGAGUUAAUUUGACUGACCUCCAUUUCUCCAUUGAUGAGGUGUAGGCAAAAAGCAGCCACCUCAUCUCCUAUAAAGUGCUAACAUUUCUGGUAAAAAAGAGCAGGGAAUCCAUCUUUGCGAGGUGCCUUCGUGGGAUGCAUUUCAAAUAAGGCCUCUCUCACUUCUUCUUUUGUAUAAUUCGCUAUAAGUUUCCUGUUAUCGUCCUCUGAGAUACACCGAUCAAUUCCCGAGAGUAGACGUUCAUAAUUCAUUUGAUUUUCUAAAGAGAACAGAUUUUGAAAAUAGAAUUGUACAAUACCUUUCAUCUCCUGAAUAUCAUUCGUUUCCUGCCCGCUGCUGUUUUGUAGCUUGCUUAUCAAAUUCUUCUUUCUUCUUUGUGUUACUUGACUGUGAAAAAAGGCUGUAUUCCUGUUUCCAAGUUUUAGCCAAUUUAGUCUAGCUCGGUGUUCCCAAUAAGUUUAAUCUUUUUCAAUUUCGAAGUUAAGCUGGAUCUUUGUGUCAAUCAUCUCAGCUAGAUUAGAAUUAUCCCUUUCAGCUUCAAUCAAUGUUGAUAGUUUGGCUGUGAGAAAUUCUUUUCUCCCCUGUUUAUUUCUUUGCACCUGUUUCGCCCAGUUUACAAACCCUUUCUUAAAAGUUUCCAUUUUCUUCAGAAAUUCUCCAGACACCAUCCCCCAUAAAUGUUUAGCUUCAUCGAAAAAUGAGUCUUCCACGAUCCAUGAGGCUUCAAAUUUGAAUUGAUUUGCUUUUUCCCAUUGGUCUUCCUUAUUUGUGUUGACGAAAAUAGGACAAUAAUCAAAAAAAGAGUGUACAAGUGUUCAACUCAUACCGCAGGAAACAUGGAAAUCCAAUUCUUAUUAGCGACACCCCUAUCCAGACGCUCUUGAAUGUUCGUUUCUGGUAAGUUUCCUCUCUCCUAAGUGAACCAUCUACCAGAGUAUCCCACAUUGGAUAGUUGGCAAAAAUCUAAAGCUUCUCGGAACAACUCCAUUCUUCUUUCAUCUCUUGGCAAGCCUCUCUUUUUUUUUUCGAAUUCAUACAUUAUUUCAUUAAAAUCUCCACAGACAAGCCAAGGGGUGUAUUCCUUUUUAUGGAGAUUUUUCAAAACAGUCCAUAAAGCUUCUCUAUCUUGCGCAUAUGGAGUUCUAUAAAAGCCAGUAAAGCGCCAUUUGACAUCUCUUUCAUCAUCAUCCACCACCAUGUCAAUGUGUCUUUUAGAGAAAUUCUAAAGCGUAACAUUGAUAUUAUUUUGCCAUGCUAGACACAAACCUUCUCUAGAGCCCUUCGAAUCAACAUCAAUUCCAUUCCCAAAUCCACAUCUUCGUCUAAUUCUUUCCAUUCGGUUUCUGCAAAGCUUAGUAUCCAUAAAGAAGACAAUUUGGGGAUUAUAAGUCCUCAGCGUAUGCUGAAGCCUUCGAACUAUCCGUAGACUCCCCAAUCCACGGACAUUCUAACUCAGUAUUUUUAUUGCUUCCGGUCGGCUUGCCAUUUGGUAGCCGCCGAUGAUAAAUGAUUAGGAUCCACCAUUCUCCAAUUUGCCAAUAUGUUUCUCAUUUCUUCUCUCCCUGUUAUAUCUUCAUUUUCCCCUCUAGGCCUUUUCGUCCCCUUUUUCCCUACUAGAGCUACAUCUUCUAGAUCCCUGAUCCAUUACAUUAGGGGUUAAAUUCUCCUUUCCUCGUACCGCGUAUAAUGAACCUCCCUCCAAAUUAAAGCCAAGAACUGGAUCAACAGAUUUCCCAUAUUUUAUUUUUCACCCCGGGUGCUUCUGGCCCAUUUUGAGACCUCCAAAUUCUGCAUCAGUUCCUCUGUUAUCGCCAUCUCCUUCCUCCCUUAGCUAGAUAUUGUUUAUUGAUAAUGACUUCCGUGAUUGUGCUCGGAUAGAUAAGUCCUAGCCCAUUUCUGCAAUUUCCAUUCCAAGGUUCAUUUUUGCCUCGCAAAAAAAGUCAUUAUGCUCCAGUCUUCCACAAUAGAAACAGAACAAAGAUAAACGUUCAUAUUUAAAGGUGACAUAUGAACAUUUUCCACCAAAUGAUAUUUUCUUCCUCCUUUUCAAAGGACGCCUUAUGUCGAUUUGAACUCUAAUUCUCAUAAAGUUCUUGUUUUCUUUUCCCAAAUAUGAUACAUCAUGUUCUAUGAAAUUCCCCAAGAAAUUACCUAACUGGGCAGCCAGGAUUUCAGAAAAAAGGCCAAUAGGGACAUCAUGAACCUAAACCCAAAAAGGUAUCAGAACUAGAGGGAGUUGUAGUGGAUCCUCCCCUAAUUCCAAUUUGUAAAGCACCAGCAGAUGGUUAUUAAUGGUCCAAGGCGAACAUUUCAAAACCCUGUUCAUAUCCAUGACAUGAAAGAACUGAAACAAAUACCUUUUUUCUCCCAGAUCACAGAUUCGUACUCCCUUAACCGGAUGCUACAGAUUCGCCAUUGUACUUUUCAUUGCUGGGAAGUGGAUCGUGCUUGCUGUGAGAAAACAUCCUACUAGUUGAGUGGUCUCACCCCUAUUUUCCGUGCUUGGAUCUGUUGGGAUGUGAAUAAUUUCCUCAUCUUCAUCAUUAAUCGACAAUUGGGCUAACUCAUUCUCCAUACUUUGCAGGUAAAAGUUUUUUCAGCUUUUGUGGUUUCACAAUUCCUGUUGCAAGAGAAGGACUUACACAGGCCACAGAUAACAAAGGGGAAAGUAUUAAGGAAAAAACAAAUAAUGAAAAAACUUAAAAACUCUUGCUAGUGGCAGCAGACAAAGGUGUGCUAGGGUAGCAGACUUUUUUUACUUGUGAAUUUGAUAAUGUUUUAUAUUUCAUAUAAUGUUUUUAUAAUUUUUUUAACUUAUAUAACUAAUAUAUAAUAUGUUUUGAAAAUUUUAAAUUUAAUAAUUUUUAUAAUUUUUUAUUUAUUGAAUUUAUAUUUUUUAAAAUGGAUGCCACAUUAUUAAUCGUCAUGUAUAAAGGAAUACCACAUAAUGCAUUCUCAUUGGUUGGGUGUGUCACCUAUCAUUUUUAACACCAUUAACCUCUUUGAACUAAGAUUGUGUUUAGCAAUGCUUAAAAAAAACACUUUUGGCUUAAAAAGUACUUUUGGAAGAAAAUUUAUGUUAAACAAGUAACUUUUGGCCCAAAGGAGUGGCUUUUCAAAAACAUUUUUACUCAAAAGCUAAAUUUUUUAGCUUUUCUUGAGCCAAAAGCACUUCUUGAAACAUUAUUACUUUUUCAUCUCUCUAUUUUUCUUCCCUUAUUUUUCAUUCACUUUAAAUUACAAAUGCUAAUGUAAAUGUUUUAAUGUUUAUAUUUGGUAUAUAAAUAUUAUCCAUUUUUGAAACUUUAAUCUAAAUAUAUGUAAUAUUUUAAUUUGUUAGGUUUUUGUUUUCUAUGUUAUGUUAAUAUUUAAUAUGGGUUAUAUAUUCAAAUUACAUUUUAAAAUAAAAUCAUUAAUUAAAAAAAGUAUUUCUCGAAAUAAUACAAAUGUGUUAAUAUCUUUUUCUUUUUCUUUUUAUUGAAAGAUUAGGCUUUAUUGAUAAAAGAAAUAAAAAAAACAAUGGAAAAGAACUGGCCCAAUCUCAUCGAGCCCAAAACUAAAGAAGCAACAAAAAUCCAAAAACAAACAAAAAGAAACAAACUAGCCUAGCCAAAUAGGAAAAGACCAUCACAAUCCCCUUAAAUGUCGUUUCAAUAACUGAUGAUUUCCUAACCCCCAUUUUGCAGAUAUUUAGAAGUUACAAAAGAAGUUUUCAUCCUUUCUCCUUUCUCCAAGGUUGGAAAAAUUUGCUUCCGAUCCUCCUCAGUCCGACUCUCGCACCCAUUCAACUUCCAUUGUUCUCUUCGCAUAACUCGGGACAACAUCUUCCAAGUAAAAGCUCUCACCAGAUCUCAAACUCUCAUUUGCUAAAAGAUGGGCUAACUAAUUUUCAAAAUGAUUUGCAUGUUUAAGCCUAAUAAAAGUAAAACUGUUUAGCUUCUGUUUGAUGUUUCGGAUGUAGGUGUUUAUUUCAGAUCUAUCAUGUAUAUCGUUGUUGCAUUUCUUGAUGAUUGUAAAUGAGUCUCCCUUUAUAACUGCUUCUGUUAACCCUAUUUCUAAACUCGUUUGUAUUGCCCAUGAACACGCGAGCGCCUCGGUUGCAAAAAUUGUUCCAACAUCGACAUGUAGGAUCGAUCGAGAUACUAAAACUUUGCCUAGAGCAUUCUUAACUACAAUUCCCGAUCUUGAUCUAGAAUGAACCUAAUCAAAGGCCGUGUCAAAAUUUAUUUUAAUUCUCGCUCUUACAGGCGAUUCCCAUUUUCUUUCCUCACCUUUCCUCAUUGAUCUCCAAUUUUCUUAUGUAGGAAGAAAUAGAAUUGGCAAUCUCCCUACUUGUUUCACUGACUUUUUCGUGCACUUCUUGUUUCUCUCUGUCCACAGGCUUCAUAGUGCAACACAAAAUUCCUAGACAUUUUGGUAACCGAACAUUCUUUAACGACCCAGGUAAGCCAAUCAAAAAAUUCCUAGACAAAAUUUGACACCAUUACAUGAAACCCCAAUAACAUCCAGACUUCAAAUGUAACAGGGCAACCACGAAAGAUGUGGUCUAAAUUUUCAGUAGCAUUAUAACAUCUCGGGCAUAUCAUAUUUGACACGAUUCGUUUAUAGUGCAAAUUUCUAAAAGUAAGAAUAUAAUCUUUCAAGAUUCACCAUAUUGUAAUUUUAAUUUUAGUUGGAAGCUUUAAGCUCUAUAGUUUCCUAUAGAAAUCUCUAGCAUUGGUCUUAUCUCAUUUAAAUUAGGGGUAGAAAUACCAGUUUGUAAUAGUUUAUAGGCUCUUCGCACAGAAAAGUCCCCCGAAGGUUCACCUCUCCACAUCAUCACAUCUGCAUAAGGAGUACAAGCCAAAGGGAUUCUCAGUAUUCUACCUAUGUCAACACUCGAAAAGGUACCCAAAUUACAAUCCCUCAUCCAUUCUCUAAUUUCACUAUCACAUAAAUCAACAAGUAUAUAAUUAUCAUUUCUAACCUCAUUGCUUAAUUUAUAAUUAGCUGAACCGGGGAUCCAUGCAUGAUUAACAAUUGAAAUCCUAUCUCCCGUACCCACUCUCCAUCCAAUCCCAUUGCACAACACCUUCUUUGCUGACCAGAUACUUCUCCAAGUAUACAAUGCCUCAUGUCUUAAACUAGCAUUGUAAAAAUCAGAUUGAGGGUAAUACUUAGCUUUCAAAGCUCGUGGUACUAAAGAAUCGGGAUGAUUAAUAAGUCUCCACCCUUGUAUGGCUAAGAGAGCCACAUUAAAUUUCUCGAAACUUCUAAAUCCUAACCCCCUUCCUCUUUCAAAUUGCACAUUAUUCUCCAUCCGCACCAGUGAAUUCCCUUACGUCCAUGACCCUUCUUCCACGAAAAUCUUGCAACAAUACUUUCCAUUUCCCCACACAGAUUUCGACAAUAAGAAAUAUGCCAUACAGUAUGUCGGUAUGGCUUGUAAUACUGAAUUUAUAAAUACUUCAUUGCCCCAUUAGGAAAGAAAUCUCGUACUCUACCUGUCAAUUUUCCUUUUCAUCUGAUCCUUCAAGAUCUGAAAUGAAACUUUUUUAUUUCUUCCCACCACAUUAGGAAGGUCUAGGUAUCUUUUUGGAUUAUUUGAGUAUCAAACUCCCAAUUCCAUCACUAGUUGCAUCCUAACCAUUUCAGAAGUAUUUGCACUAUAAAAAAUCGUAGAUUUUUCAAAAUUCACACACUAACUUGAACAAACUUCAUACUCUUCCAAAACCUAUUUAAAUGCAUGUACACCCCUCUCUAAAGCCUCCCUAAAAAGAACACAAUCAUCUGUAAAUAGUAUAUGUGAAAUUUUAGGUCUAUUCCUACUCACCUUUGGUCCUUUUGUCAGGCCCUCUCCAACCACAAGUCUCAUGAGAGAAGAUAGUCUCUCACUGCAAAUAAGAAAUAGAAAAUGGACUUAAAGUUUCUCCUUGUCUUAAACCUCUAGAAGGUCGAAAAAACUCUCCCAUGAUCCCAUUAAUACUAAUAGAAUAGGAGAUCGUUGAGACACACUUUAUUACCAUAUCCACUUAGGCUUGUGCAAAACCCAUUUAUUCCAUCAUUGCCAUUAGAAAACCCCACUCAACUCGGUCAUAUACCUUGCUCAUGUUUAAUUUUAAAGCCAUAAAUCCCCUUCGUCUAAUUCGCUAAUUUCUAAAAGUAUGUAGUAUCUCAUAUGCAAGCAAUACAUUAUUUGAAAUCAAACGUCCUGACACAAAUACACUUUGAGCACUAUCAAUGCAAACAUUAAGAGUCUUUUGGAAUUGAUUGGCUACAAUUUUUGCAAUUAUCUUGUAUAAAACAUUACAUAAGCUGAUGAGUCUAAAAUUCGUCAUAUUAGUAGGAUGACGGAUUUUUGGUAUGAGAACAAUGUUUGUAACAUUCACAGGGUCAAGAUCCUUACCAUUAUUUAAAACAUCCAAACAAUAGAGGCUUACAUCUCGUCUCACAAUGUGCCAAUAUCAUUGAUAAAAUAAAGCUAGAAAGCCAUUCAAACUUGGUACCUUAGUUGGACCCAUAUCUUUCAAGGCCACAUAGACUUCUUCCUCCGUGUAUGUCCCUAUUAACAUCAAAUUUAAGUUAUCAGAAAUACACAUCCCCACCUCAGACAGAAUAUGAGUUAAUUCACCCAUUCCCUUUGUCGUAAAUAAAUCCUAAAAAAAACCCUUGCAGUUUUUGCCAUCUCCGCUUCCUCCCUAGUAACCCUUCCAUCUUCAUACUCCAAACGUUUAACCAUAUUCUUUUUCAUGCUAUUUGAGGUAUAAUUGUAGAAAAAAUUUAUGUUUCUAUCCCCUAACUUUAACUAAUUGACUCUCGCUCUUUGUUAUUAGAAAGCUUCAUCCUUAUCAAUCUCUCAGUUUAAAUGAACUAGUGUCAAUAAGGUCUACCAAAUUCUCAUCAUCCUGAUCUGAGGCUAACAGUUGCUUCAAUUUCCUAGUCAAAGAUUUUUUCAAACAAUGUUUUUUUUCCUUUAUCUCUCUUUCCCAACUUCCCAGUUCUACUUGAAUACUUUCAAUUUUAGUAAAUAUAUCUCAUUUGAUCGAUUCCUAAACUCAUUUUAUUUCUAUUUCGAAAGACUCUUUCAUUGUCCACCAUGCUUCAAAACGGAAUUUUUUAUUACCCUUAACAUUUCCACCUAUAUUAGUAUGAACUAAAAAUGGGCAAUGAUCAGAAAAAGAAUGGGGUAAGUGUUGAAUACUGGAAUUUGGAAAUCUAUCCAACCACCUAACAUUUGCCACACCUCUAUCCAAUCAUUCCUGAAUAUUUGUUUAUGGUAGAUUUCCUCUCUCCCAUGUAAACCAUAUCCCAGAAUAUCCUAUAUCCAGAAAGCGACAGUCCUCCAAAACUUCCCAAAAUGUCUCAAUUCUCUAUUCAUCCCUUAGAAUACCUCUCACUUUCUUAAAAGAAUACAUAAUUUCAUUAAAGUCCCCGCACACUAACCAUGGAAGAUUUUGGAAAUUCCCCAAAUUCUUAAAGACAUUCAACGGCUCGCUCAUAUUUCGAGCAAACAAAGAUCUAUAAAAACCUGUAAAUCUCCAAUCCCCUUUUUCCACAUCCCCUUUUAUCUCUACAUCUACAUGGUUCAUAGAGAAACUGCGUAAAGUGACAAUUAAAUCCUCUUUCCAUGCCAAACAUAGGCCUCCAUGAGAACCAUCAGCCCCCACCUCAAUCGCAUUAACAAAACCACAUCACGUCCUUACUGCUUCCAUUCUUCUACCAUCUAGUUUAGUCUCCAUAAAAAAGAUCAGUUGGGGAUUAGACAUAUUCAGUGCAUGUCGAAGUCUUUUGACAGCCCGUAUCUCCUCAACCCACGGACGUUCUGUAAUGACCCAAAAUUCACGGGCAUCAGAAAAGUGCAAUAUUGGGCCUCCAUCUUAGUGAAAUGGGUUCGUAAAUAAUUAUUAGAAAUAUUUAUGAGACUAGUGGUGUGCCUAAUUAGGUUCUAAUUAGGUGAAUUUAUCUUAAUUAAGAGUAAUUAGGAAAAAAUGACUAAAGUGAAUAAAAGGUAAAAGUUGAAUUGUAGAUUAAAAGAAAAUAAAAAGGACCAAAAUGGUAAAUAAGCUAUUUAGCAUAAGUUGAGGCGGCAAACAAAGAUUUUUGUUUUGUUUAAUUAAUCUAAAAAAAUAAAUUAGUUAUAAAUUUAAUUAUGUUAAAUUAUAAUAAUUAUAUUAUAAUUAAUAAAAUAAGGACAAGUGUAUGGCGAUGAUAAAACACAUGUGUAAUAAAUAUAUGUAAACAUUUGUAGUAUAAUUAUUUAUUUACUUAUAUUUUAAACUAAAGAUAUUUAUUAUUAAAUUAAUCUAUUAUAAAUAUCAUAUUAUGAAUUGAAUUAAAUUAAAGCCAAGUGUACAGUGAUAAAAAUAUACAAAUGUAAUAAUAGUAUUCAUACAUUUGUAAUAUAUUUAUUUAAUUACUUUAUAAGUAAAUAGAUAUUUAUUAUAUUAUAUUAUUAUCAUUAUUAUUUUUAAAUAAUAUAUAUAAUGAAGUAAAAAAAGAAAAGAAAAGAAAAGAAAGAAAUAAAACAAAGAAGAAAAGAAACAGAGAGCAAUUCGAAAUAGGGGAAAAGAAAGAAGAAAAGAAAAAGAAAAGGAAAAACUAGGGUUUUGAAGCUUAAAGCUUUAAUUGGUAAGUCAAUUAAGUCAUUUUUACUUAAUUUUGAUGUUUCAGAAGCUUUGGAACAAAGUUUUGUUGAAAUCAAGUUGAAAUUUUGGAAAUUCUUAGGUUUUUGAAUAUAGUUCAUGUUGAACAAAUUGAUGAAUUAGGGGUUUAAUUGAUAGAAAUUUUAGUUAGAAUUGAUUAAAGGAUUAAAUUGUAAAGCUAUAAGUUUUGCAUAGUAGGGACUAAAUUGCAAGAAUUUCGAAAUUAGGUAUUUAUGAUGAAAUUUAGAUAGUUAUGUCUAAGUUUGGUUGAAAACUGAGUAGAAAUAAAGUAUGAAUUAAGAUAGGAAAGUAAGUGAAUUUACUUAGGACCAAAUUGAAUUUACGGUAGAAAUUGAAUAGAAAUGGAAUAGGAAAAUUUAAAUAUUAGACAUAAAUUAAUAUUGUAUUAAUGAUUAUGAAAAUUAUCCUAAUUUUUCGUAGCUAAUAUCGCACCCGAGGUAUCCACGAAGAAAGGAAAAAAAAAGUGGACGAGGAGUAGACACGAGAAUCACGGUUUGUAUUAUUAUAAUUCAAAUUUAAUUAUUAUUAAUUAUUGUGUUUUAAUUGAAAUGCAUGGUAAAUAAAUAAGGUAAGAAAUUUGGUAUGAUAAUAUUAUUUUAAAUGGAGUUGAUUUCAAGUGAAUAUGAUUAUUGAAAUUAAGUAUUGAUAUUGAAUUGAAUGAAAUUAGAUUGAAUUGUGAUUAUAUGUGAGUAAUUGAGAUGAAUAUUGAAUUAAGAAAGUGAAAUUGAAAUGUGAUUAUUGAAUAGAAAUUGAAAUGGUUUGAAUUGAAUUAUUGAACUAUUGUGGUAUUGAACUGGAAUAUUGAAAUUGGUGACUGAUAUGGAUUUUAUUGGAAUUGAAUUGAGAAAGUGGAAAUUGAUAUGUGAUGUUGAUGUUGGAAGUGAAUUUGCUUAUCGAAAUUGAAUGAAAUAUCGAUUGAAAUGUGAAUUUGAAGCAAAUGGAAAAUAUGAGAUAUUGUGGUUGAAAUGGCAUUAAUUGAAAUUGAAUUGAGAAAUAUAUAUAUUGAAUACCCUAUUAACUAGUCGGGCUGAGUCGGAUAUAGUUGGCAUGCCAUAGGAUUUGGAAGAGUACGGGAUUUAUCAACUUUGCCGAUCAGGCAUUUUAUGUGUCGUAUAUCAGGAACUUUAUGUGUCGUAUUUUAGGCACCUCAUGUGUCGUUUCAGACACUUAUGUGUCGUAUAUUGAUCAGGUACUAUGUACCGUUUUAGGCAUAAUGUGCCGUAAUGGUGUGUUUGGUUGGAUCCAUGUAUCCGCCAAAGUUCGAGUCAUGUUAAUAGGGGAAAAAUAAAAGAAUUGAAGUAAGAAAUGAUAUUGAAUUAUGAAUUAUGUGAAUAUUUGAAGGUAUAUUGAUUGGAAAUUAAAAGCGAUUUGAAUUGAACUAAAUUGAUUUGAAAUGAGACAUUGAAUUGAGAUGUGAAAAUGAAAUAUAUGAAAUAAUGAUUUUAUGAAAUGGUUAUUGAUGAAAUGCAUGAAAUGGAUAUUGAUAUAG